CGCUGGAUUAUUAUAAUGUACUUCCAACAUGUAAUAAGAGCCUUCUGGAUGUUCUGCGAUCGGAAUACCAACGUGCUCUGGAAGCCACUCGCCUAGAAAAUUUACUGCUGAUUAGCAAUUAGCAGCUGAUACAAUUAGUGUAGGUUACCACACCUGUACUGCCACGAGCCCAAGCAAGGACCGGCUGCAAACAAGAUUCCCAUUCUCGAGGCAUCGUAGGACUGUAACAAGGUGCACCAACGAUCCUCGCGUGUCGUCCAAGAAUCGGUAAGGUCGAGGCACAUUCGUACAAUAUUAUAUGAUGAACCAGAUCCUCGUUCUCUUUUUCCACCAAAGGUGUAUACUGAAAGAAAAAAGAAACAAUUGGCGCUUGUUGUUUUUUUUUUUUUCUUUUUUCUUUAUUAACAUUUCAGCCGAGUCGUGCGAAUUCGAAGAAGACAAUGAUUCGGAAUACCGAAUUCAGUUCCUCUCUGGAAGAGGAUGGCUUCGAGAAGGUAGCAUUGACAAUCGAGGAACGUUUCGGACGUGGAAUGACAUCAUUCGGAGAGCCCCUUCUUUCUAUUCUAACGAUGUCCGUCUACAGUCUACACGGUGCCAUGUCCGGCACGGAUGACCGUGAUUCGUGAAGCACAUACGAAUCAGGCCCAACCUUUACAGAAUUCCUACGCGCAUCUCGCUUUUCUACACGUAAUCAAUUCCUAUUCUCGAAUCGGCAAUCUAGAUUGUUACUAUCGAGUCUGUGCAGGCUUUAGCGUACAACAAAAAUGCGAUCACUUACCCCGAUCAUGUGAUGCUUCUCCUUAUGAGGCGCUUUGAAGAUCUUGCACCAGUAGGUGGUGUCGGUGUUGUCUGAAACCGGGGGCUAUGCAUCAAGAGAAACAUAUAUAAUUAACUGUAGCAGUUAACGCCGAUUUAUCGGGGAAUAAGUUGAAUGCAAGAUGUACGUACUUGAUUCAGUUUUACAUCCCAGUGUCUGAUGUCUUGCGUGUGUUGCGGCGGUGAGUGCGGAGCGGCAGUUUUCAGACGCAAAGCUCGACCACCGCGUUUGUCACCUGGCCAAAUCGCAGUGUUUAACUCGGGAUCGCUUCGAUGAAGCGCCCAUAGGACUCGAAUGGUAUCACCCUACAUAUAUGGGAAUAGGAUAUUUUUGUUAACCUUCGAAUCGAUGCGAUGGAUUGAUUUCGAAGCACGCUGUUUAAACCUGCUGCGUUUGGAGAAUGAGAAUCGUGGAGGAUGCAGAGGAUCGCGAAUGGCAUGCUAAAUGCCUAAAUAUCAGCCCUUUGUCUCUAUCUUCUAAAUAUUCUCAUGCUCCGUCAGGUGAAAUUAAAAAGGUGAAUAAUUUAUUUUACAAGUGUGUCGCGUCGUGUCGAACGGCGCAGAACGACGAAGAACGGUGAAGAACGCUAAGAUGGAUAAUUAAAGAAGGUAAAUGAGAAUGGUAUUCUGUAGCCGAUUAAAAUGGUAAGUAGGAUCAUUUUGAGGUCUUGAAAUAAUUCAAACUUAUAGUGCUGUUCUUUACGCUUCCAGGCUUACCGUAAGCCGAUGAUCCUGAGGAUCGCAUGUCUGCCAGUUUCUCGAGAAGAUUACGCUUGUGUGCGUCUCGUUUUGCGAGCCUCCUAUCACUUUGACGUCUUGAGACGCGUCUGUAACCAACGCGGUGUCCGUAUCCUCGAUUCCGUGCGAGUCCUGAAAUAAAUAAGAAGAAGAAGGAGAAGAAGAAAAAAAAUAAAUGAAAAAUGUUGAAAUCGCAGGCAAGGUGAACGCACGCAGGCGAAAGGUGCUCGAGGGCCAGGAGACGAGCAGCAGAUCGAGCAGACCGAGAAGUUUAUCGGGUCAGGUGAGCGCGCCAGGUGUUUACAAUCGACAACGCACCGAAACUUUCUGUCAGCCUCCAUUUGUUACUCUCCUCCUGCUGCACUUUCUCCUCUACUCUUCUUUGGUCAGACAGUAUGUUGAAUUAGUGUAUUGAAAAGGAAAAUGGAGAAAUCAUAUUAGAUUUUACUUUUUAAGCGUAUGUAUGUGUGUAGUAUAAACAACAGUAUAUGUAUAUACGUUGUAUCCGAAGGAAAAAGAGAGCAUCGUCUGAAAGGCAGAAGGGAGGCCGCAGGCGUUUGGGUCCGUUGAAUUCCGAUUAUGGUCGGGCGCUAAAGUUUGUAAGAAGCCGAAGGGAAGUCCCCUUCCUGUUCGUAAUGAAUCGAAAUAAUUGACCGAACGUCGUCAUGCUUGCUGCGUGUUUUGUACCGAGCACGUGCAAAGAGGAAAUGGUAAUAAUGUUCGAUAUCGUAUCGGAAAAAAGAAGCUAACGUUCUUGUUCUGUGUUCUAUUUACAGAAUAAACAUUCUUCUUCUGAAAGAAUUGUUCGUUAUCGAAGAAUUUAUCAGCGGAGAAUCGUUGAAGGAAGGAAGGAAGGAAGGAAGGAAGAAACGAAGGAAAGAAAAAACGAAAGAAGGAGAUACACAUAAUUCUGCUUUUUAAUUGCGACCGGUCGUGGUGUGUUAUUCGGGCGGGGUUUAAGCGCGUUCUCACGAAGUUUGCAAGGGAUUUUCUCAUAGCACCCGGAUAUUCUCAUCGUCGUUGGACUAAUUAACACGACCCUGGAAUUGCUGGAGAUUCCGUGGCGAUUUCUUGAAUCGACUCGUCUCUUUCGCCGAGUGACGCUUUAAUUGCUGUGAUUUAUGCGUGCUUGAUUAAGAGGAAAAGCAUUUACCGCGUCCAGUUUGAUCGCGAUGAACUGGAAAAGUUGGUUGGCGAGUUAGACAUUCGCCUUUCCGGAACAGAUACCUACGUUCACCGAUUCGGUGCAAUUACACCGAAUGGGGGGCGAGAAAUGGAAGAAGAAUUAGCAAAAGUUGUUGCUACCAAAGCUCCUCGAUAUCCUUGGAGAACGGAGGGAGAGUCACGGAUGCAUGGGAAAAGAGGCAGGCGUGCGUGGAUGCGGAAAAUUAAUUCGACGGAUGUGACGUCAUGGAUCGGUACUCGCAUUUCCUAUGCGAGUCUUCUGAGAAACCUGUACGUUUCAGAAGAGAUCCCUUAUAGCCCACAUACAUACAUACAUACGUACGUACGUACGUACGUAAGUAAGUGUGAGAACAAUAUACAAAUUACUAGUUUUUCUUUUCUCUUUUUUCACUUUUUUCAGUGUUAAUUAUUUCACAUUAGGAAUUUUAAUUUGCGACGUAUGUUUGAUUUUUUCUUGUGAUUGCUUGGAAUAGAAAUUUUAUAAAAAUUAACCGUGAGCGAUUCUCGCGAAAUAUUUCAAUACAGCAUCGACGUCGCCCUCGUCUAUCGGUGUAAUCGAUCUUGAAGAAAAAAAAAAAAAAAAAAUGCUUUCCAAUCUGUAUACAAGUACAGACCACGAAAAAAAAGAAGAGAAAAGAAAAGAAAAACUUGUCUUUAUACCUCUGAAACGUCGUCGUGGUUCCCAUGGGAGCCAAGAUGCUAUGAAAAAGAGAGAAAUUCUCUCAUGAGGCGCCACUAGGAGGACGAUGCCUGCCAACUGCCAGGUGUUUUGGGGUAGAGCCUCAUUCUCUUUCUCUUCUCUACCCGUUUCGAACGUUUCGAACGUUUCGCCGGUAUUCCUUUCCCUUUCCCUUUCCCUUUCCCUUUCCCUUUCUCAUUUCUUUUUUUCUUUCUACCCUCCAACUUUUUCCCCUCUCUUUUCGACAACGCCUCGAGAAAGCCGACUAUUCGCUCCCUACAUACUCUUCUCUUUUUCUCCUUCUUUCGUUUCAUUGCUCUGUCUCUUCCCUGGUCAUAGGGGCUCUCCUUUUUACCACCUGGCAGAAACAGCAGAUGGUAGCGCAAAGCGAACUCUCGAAAGGGGAUAACCGCUCUCUAAGCGGAGCUAAAGUCCAAUCGAAACCGAUCCUGUUUUAGAUGGUCCCAUCUAUAAUUUUCCAAAGUUUCAGCCAGUUAACGCGUCUACCGUCUACUGUCAUUGUAUUAAACUCUCGUAAAAGAAUACGAGUAAUUUCCAACAUGUCGCCACAGUACAAGUCGAUCCGGUUCUCACACGUGUACGCUAACGGUGAGAAAAGUAGCUACGCGCAAUUAUGCUCACCGGCUCGUUAUAGCUCAUCGUACUUACUUUUACGAGCGUAUGCGGAAUAAUAAUCGACGAAUUAAAAUCUAGUGGAAACGUUGCUGUCAAGGUCUGUGAUCUUGACUCUCCCUUUCUCGCUUAGAAUUGCGCACUUUGCUUUGGCACAUUUCAACCCUUUUUAUUUUUUUAUUUAUUUAUUUUUUCAAAUACCGGUUGAGCUGGUGAUCGAUGAGUAAUCAGGAUAACAAUGCCUCGAUUGAGAAAGAUUUUAACAUACUUAACAUACUUAAUAUGAUUUACAGAUCCGGUUACCGUGUGAAUUGAUCGGCUCGGAAGCAGCAGCACGAGGAAUCAGCUUCCGCGAACCAGUUUGGCACCGGUUCAACCAGCUAGUGAUAAUUUUCACCUCAGCCCUCAAGGCGAAUCGAAAAGUCUACAUAGAAAGAAGUGGGUAAAAAUUGUCUUUUUUUUCUUCUCUUUCUACAUUGAAUUAUCUUGGAUGAACUCGAUAAGAGAGCUGUCAAGUCGCAUUUACUUACGUCCCCGUGAAAAAUAAUGCUUAUCGGCCUUAUCGGGCAAAGAAAAGGAAGGGUGGGAGGUGAAGUUGCAGCGAAAAAACAAACGAAAACUGGUUGUAUCGGGCUUUGAAAGAAGAGGAAGAAGAGGGUACAUGUCGAAGAUAAUGAGAAAAAGAUCACGUCGGAAGGUAAGGGGAACGAUCUAUGCACCGAGUAAGCCUGUUGUUGGACCAGGAGAUGGACGGAUCGCAGAUUAGCUUGCAUUUCAAAUUCACUUUGCGAAACGCGUUCCCUUGCCUCUGUAAUAAAUUACGAUCGUAAUCGUUGUACGUGCACGUCCCGUUGCUCCAUGCGAAUAACUUUCGAGUUGCUCAACUUUCUUCUCCGCCCAUGAGAUUGUUUCGCGCGAAAUUUCGUAGAAAUUAAAGGAAGACGUUUUCCUCUUUCUAUUUCAAUUAUUAUUAAUGAAAACGAUCGCAUGGCUGAGAAAUGGAGGGCUUUUUUUCUUUCUUCGCAACGAUACCGAAAGAUUCGUGUAUGGCGUAUAGCCUCCCCUCGCCAAUGUCUGGAGGCCUUGACUGGGCCCCAUUGGAACCCCUGCCUGCCUGCCUGCCUGCCUGCCUGCCUGCCUGCCGUCGCGUCGCGAUCCUUUCCAUACGUGUGUUGGUCGCACAUUUAGUCACGCAACCUCUCCAAUACCUUCUUUGCCACCUUUUGUAACCUACGAUACACCAGGCGAUACAGAAAUUUCAAACAACAAUUACCGUUAACCGAACACAAUAAUCAUCGAUUCAUGUCGAUUAGUAAAAAAUGCAAAUGUUUCACUGAUUUUCAAUAAUAAUUGACAGUUUGAUUUUCUUUUUUUUUCUUCUUCAUUUCGGUAAUUCCAUUCCAGGGGUAAUCUGUCCAGUCAUGCGUUCGACGAGCGGUCAUGGGUUCCGAAUUCGUCAAGGUAAAAAAGGGGCGAGAAAUGCCUCGCUGCCCUCGACGGACGUAAAUUUAUCAUGACUUUAUCUCGACCGGUGGAACGACGUUCGUUAAUUUUCUACCAGCCGUUCUUCUCUCUCUCUCUCUCUCUCUCUCUUCUCUCCCACCUGCUCGCAUCAAUUCUUUCUUUUUCAACCCUUCGUUGUAUCACAGGACGAGAAUCGGCUAAAUUCUUAAAGGAUUCAUAUUUGUUUCACAUAUUAAGCACCGUUCUUACCCCUUGGUCGAAUCUCUAUCGUUUUCCAAAAGUUAAUUGCAUCGAGUAAAAAUGGUAAAUCGUAGACACAGACAGAGGCGCAUUGGAUAAUUGUACAGUGAACAGGUUCCCGUUGACGCUGCAUACCUUGGACGGAUAUAAAUUUAAUUAAGAUUAGGAAUUCGGAGAAGCUGUAGUUUUCAAGCAGGUUUCGAUAACCAGUUUCUUUUUUUUUAAUUUAAUCCUUUUAUUGCAUAUCUUCUCAUUCAAAGUUGACUGAAAGUUGACUUGGCGUUCGGUUCAAAGUUUUAUCGUGUUGCGGUAGAAAUUCCGUUCUUUAAAAUCGAGUAGAAUCAAUUGUGAUGCGUUAAUUAAACGAAACUCGUUAAUACGAAAGGUGCACGCGAAACGUGGGAUCAAAGAGAUAUCCCUUUCGAAAGGGAUUUCGUCGUACGGUCGCGGUCGGUUAGAAGAGGCCGAUACUUUAAUUCGCGAUUCUCCUUUUUCUUUUUCUUUUUCUUUUUCUUUUUCAUCUUUCUUUCCUUCUUUCAGCUCCGCAGGUUCUUCAGACUGCUGUUUUCGACCGCCUUGCCUUCUUAAUCUUUCUUUUUACCUCCUUUUUCUCCACUUCUUCUUCUUUGUUACCUCUUCUUUUUAUAUUCUUUCAGUUCCUUCUCUCCAGCUCGAUUCAUGGCAACGAGGACCCAGGUCGAUAGAUCUUCAGCUGUCCCGUGUAGAGGGAAGAAUCGCGAAAAACUUGUUGCUUCGUUGAAAGGAUAUUCUUGAAGAGACGUUGCAAAGCCGACAAACAGCCGAAGAAGGGUCUUUUGAGAAAGGAAGAGGAAAUCGUCACACCGUCUGAAUGCUUCUCCUCUUAUUAUUUUCCUUCCACGAUUAUUCUCUUCCGCGUCUAGACAAUUUGUAAAGAAAACAUACUGCACCGAGUAGACAAUGGGCAAUCAUCGUUCAGCUUUUUAUAUUUCAGAAUGGAACAGUGACGAGUCUUAAGCUACGUGUACUUGAGCUAUUUAUCAAUUUGUAGAAAGAUGGCUAAAAUCCUUCUAACGUUCAACUUUUUUCCGUCCAGGGUGGAUUCUUUGCGACCGACCGAAAGGAAAGGAAAUGGAAAUGGGGAAAUGGAAAGGUCUGUUGCUGCUGCUGCUGCUGCUGCUACUUCCUGCGGAAGCCAUUUUUUCGAAACCGGAGACGCAUUUAUCAGUGGUGGUGGUGGUGGUGGUGUUCCAGAAAGAAACGAGGGGCUGCGAAAACAACUGCGGCAGAUGUGAACUCUUGGCACGCGCCCUUCUGUGCGACAGUGGUUCUCAUUCAGACGGCAAAUCAGACAAACACACCAAUCAUAAUUGUUUGUCUUACGUCAACUGAUUGAGUCUACUACAUUUCGUUUUAUCUGGGGUAAAACAAGCGUCACUACAUAUGGUAAUAAAAGCAUCAAAGUAUCCAUAAACUGCUAUGUGAUUUGAUUUGUCAAAUCUUUAAAUGACCGCAUAAAAAUGCGUCCGCACGCGUGUUAGGAAGCCAACUCUGUAUCAAGUUACUUCCGGUAACUAACAUUGAAACUUUAUACUCUGCAAGGAAGGGUUAGCAAUCUUUCAUAUUCUUUCGUGAAUGAAUUCGACCAAGGUUGAUAGAGAAAUAUCUGUAAACUUGAAAAAAAAAAAAAAAAAAAAAAAAAACAUUUAUUUGUAAAUAAGUUUGACACGAAUCGAUACUCGGUUCACACUUUUUCUCCGUUCACCUUUUAAUAGGCAAUGGAAGAUGGAAUUGCUUUUCCAGAAAUUUCUUUCAGUCAGGUAUCGCUUAUCGUGAAAGAGAAUUUCUUUAUUGCGAAAAGACGUCGUCGGUCAAGAAGCAAGCUUACUGCAUUAUUUCUUUGUUCGCAGGAAUCCGUGGACCGAUUGGGAUUCGUGCCAGAAGGAACCUUUCAUUUUCUAUAAGGAGAAAUUGCGAAUUCUUCGGAAACAGGAGAGGUAGACGAUACGUGGAAGUCUGAAGUUUUCCUAGCUUUCCUGGCUUUUUUUUCUUUUAAGUUUCACAAGUUCUCUAGAUUUUCAAAUUGUCUCAAUUCUACAAACGUUUUCUAAUUCUUUUACAAUUUUCUAGGUGCCUCGAAUGAUCCAAGAGGAUGGAAAUUAGUAAAAAAUUGUCUGACGUCGCGUUUCUGUCCAGAGAAUUAAGCGAAGCUACUCAACUGCCGUUUAGUAUUCCACUGGCGAAUUUAUUCAACAUCCUCCACGUGGGUUAUUUACCAGAGAGGGCACGAUAUCGGCUCGGAAAUCUCGUUGUCCUGGGAAAAACCAAAGCUUCGUGAUAGGUACGAAGCAUAAGAAGUGAAUCAGUGAUUUUUAUCAUUUCGUAAGCACGAACGCCAGUCAACUUACGGACUGAUCGAAAGACCGUCUCUCAAUUAGCAUUCAAUACGGCUCACUUUAGUCGUUGCAGUCACCUGUUCCCUGUCCAGGGAACACCUGCUAUAAAGUAAUUUUCCUUCGAGAGUUCACACCAUCUGCCUUUUUGUAUUUCGAAUUUCGAUUGCCAGAUAUGCGACAGUUCUACAUAUAUGACAGUGUUCUAAAAUGUAUGUAUGUAUGUAUGUAUGUAUAUAUCUAUAUAUAGAUGAACAA